GUUUUGCAGGUAUGGAGCCAAGACAAAUCUUUCCACCUGGAGAUGGGACAGACAAAGGGGCAGACAAUUUUUCUUUUUCUUUUUUUGUAUUCAGCAUACAAAAAUCAUGUAUACAGGGAACUAGGCAGAGGGCCUUCUCGGUAGUGGCCCCCGCCCUGUGGAAUGCCCUCCCACCAGAUGUCAAAGAGAACAACAACUACCAGACUUUUAGAAGACAUCUGAAGGCAGCUCUUCUUUAGGGAAGCUUUUAAUGUUUGAUGCAUUACUGUAUUUUAAUAUUUUGUUGGAAGCUGCCCAGAGUAGCUGGGGAAGCCCAGCCAGAUGGGCAGGGUAUAAAUAAAUAAAUUAUUAUUUAUUAUUAUUAGACUCAAGUAACCUCACAAGGAAGGAGCUGUUACAGUUGUCUAUCAUCCCAGUCUUCUUCUUUCAUACUUGGUUUCUUGCUUUUUAAAAACGGCAUCCAGAACCUUUGUCGAGAGGUUUCCAUGCACAACAAAGUGACUGGUAUGUGGAUGAUAGCAUCACUCAGUGGCUCCACAGCUGGAUGUCCUUCCCAACUGAAUUACAGAACAAGCAGGAAGAUACACCCCAAUCCUUGCUACACAGGACAGGUGGAGAAUGUGUGUACCAGAUGUGUGUAGCACACAAGCUCUUCCAAUUUGGGUAGGUCAUCUGAUCAUAUGGUACCCUGCCUGUGUGACUCUACCUCAGAGUUACAACUGUUUUGAGCAUGUCCUUAGCCUCUUCAGCAUCCCCCUCAAAGUCCCCUCUUUAUCUCUCGCUUUAGGAUUUCAGACAGGGACUCUUUCCCAGCCCUGCCUGGCACCUUCUGCAUGCAAAGCAGAUGCUCAGCCACUGAGCUACAGCCUUUCCAGAAAACAGCCUAAUAGGCACUGGCAGAAGUGAGAUUCAAGAAGUAUUGUAAUCUUCAUUAAAUAUCUUCAACCAUACGUUACACUAUAUGCCAUAAUAUUUUAAUUGGUAGCUUAAUCAAUAAGUUAGUUAAGAGCAAGGCAAUUAAUCUGCAAAAAAUCCUUAAACCAGUUAACAACUGUAAUUGUCAGUAUACAUUAGCAUCAUAUAGGAUUAUCAGACUUCGUGAAGUAUUAAGCUUCAAUAAACUUUCAUUAUUAACAGAC